CUUAGAGAAUAUAACAAACUUAUGAUGUAGAUGUUAGAGGCCCAAACAGCAGCAUUUUUACUUCACUUGAAACUUAAAAGUUAUUCCAUUAUCAUCCAUCAUAAUCUGUCUCUUACAUCUUCUCGUUUAUUAUUCUUUUAUCUAUCCUUAUAUACUGAACAUCUUUCCAGACUUAAUUAGAGGCACCGGUUUCGUUGAGCAGUUGUAAUCAGAUAUCAAAAUACAUGAUAUCUAGUCUAUAUUACUAAGUACUAACUGAAUGUUAAACUCUAUCGCCUGCGUAGAUUCCAGUUGCUUCUUCUUUAAGAUCAGCUCAACUGGCAUCUGACUAUCGGAAACAAGAUAUAACACCUUGAAAAUCAAAGUUGGUGAAAAUGUGAUUGCAGCAAUACAUGUGCUUCAAGCAAUACGGAGAGCCCAUCCUAAUUGUUCUUUUAUCAUAGACGCUAAAGAAAAAUACACCAGUACUGAAGCUAUUCAACUUCUUCAAGAAUUGCACGAGAUGAAAUUGACUCCGGUUCUGUUUGAGCAGCUAGUUCAUAGAGACGACUGGGAAGGUCUCGGCCGUGUUAAUCAGAUUGGCAGAGAGAAAUAUGGGAUAUUUGUGGCUGCGGAUGAAAGUUGCCGUGGUUUAGCUGAUGCAAGAAAGAAUUGAGUUUUAGGCUUGCAUCUCAUGAUUAGUGGUAUGGUUGAGAGUAGACUCGCCAUUGGCUUCGCUGGUCACCUUGUUGACAGGAAGGCUUUAAGAUCAUCAUUGUACAAUUCUUGAAGAAGUUGAAUAGCUUCUGUACUGGUGUAUCCUUCAUUAGCAUCUAUGAUAAAAAAACAAUCAGGGUGGACCUUCCUAUUGCUUGAAGCACAUGUAUUGCUGCAAUUACAUUUUCACCAACUUUGAUUUCAAAGUGUUAUGUCCUUGUUUCCGAUAGUCAGAUGCCAAUUGAGCUGAUCUGAAAGAAGAAGCAACUGGAAUGUACGCACGCGAUACAGUUUAACAUUCAGUUAGUACUUAGUAACAUACUAGAUAUAUCAUGUAUUUUGAUAUUCUGAUUACAACUGCUCAACGAAACCGGUGCCUCUAGCUACGUCUGAAAAGAUGUUCAGUAAAUAAGGAUAGAUAAAAGAAUCAUAAACGAGAAGAAUAUGUUGUAGCUCGGAAACUGAACUUAUUAAAGCAUUAAGCACUGGAGCCUGGAGGCACUAGUUAACACAUAUCUAUUUUGUCAUUCUGCAUUUAUAUUUGUCACUCUGCAUUUAUAUUAUUUUGGCAUUACCUAGUACUUGCCUUGACUAUCAAGGACAGUGGUUGUAGUAUGUCCAACUGCUGGAAUUAGGUUCUGCAGGAAACUUUUCGGAGCUUUAGAGAAUAUAACAAAGUUCUCUGAUGUAGAUGUUAGAGGCCCAAACAGCAGCAUUUUUACUUAAAAGUUAUUCCAUUAUCAUCCAUUAUAUAUAAAUAAGAAUUACCCAACCUAACCCUAAUUCAUAUAUUUUCAAGACCGGUUCAUUAUGGGUUUCGGUUGUGUCGGAUACCAAGAUUUUAUUAGUUUAUUGUUUUUACGUGCAUAUCAUGAGUUUCUUUUGAAAUUCAUUCAACUCUUUUAUGCGAGAUUAUGAAAUCUGUUAUAAAAUGGGAGGUUUUGAUGUUUAUGUCAUUGUCAAGGUUGUGAUCAAUGCACAUUCAACAUGAUUUAGUUUAUAUAUCGGGAAAAAUAUCAAAUUGGUGACUCGUUCUAUUCAAAUAUAUCAAGUAAGUCACCACUUUCCAGUUUGACUCUGGUGUGAUUUUCUCUCUGGUGUAAUUUUUGUUGCAGUGCCAAAAGAUCUAUUGAAUUUUGGUGAAGCAUUAGCAGAAUCCCCAGGGGAAAACAUGGGGAGCUCAGUGCCGUCUCUUGUUUUUAUUCUGAUGAAGCGAACUUACAACAUAAAGGAGUCUGGUUGUUGCAGAUGUUCAAGCUGAAGGUAUCAAUUUGGUUCUGUGGGACUCUGGAAUUUAGAUGGGUGGCUGAUUUGAACAUAUUCACAAACUUGCUUUUAUUAUAAAAUUUUACUGGCUCGUCAAGCUUAUUUUUUACUUAAUCUUCUGAUUUACGACCAACUUGCUUAAUGUUAGAAUCGUAAAUGAACCGAGAUUCGUCAAGAAACUCGACUCAGCUCGUUAACGAGUUCAAGUUUGAACAACCAAAGCUAUUCAACAAGUUUAACGAGUCGAUCAGAGCCUUUUAGAUGUUUGACUUGACUCGACUCAAUUUUGACUCGAACUCGAGUUCGGGUCAUUAAACUCGAACUCGACUCGGUUAGUUAUAUAUAUUAGGAAAAAAAUAUUUUUUUAUAUAAUUUAAAUAAAGAAUGGAUUAGUAAUAAAUGGUCAUUUGACUACUAAUUUGAUCUCCCAUGACCAAUAAAAAAAUUUUGAAAUACUAGAAUGCAUCCGCAUUAUUGCACUAGAGAUGACAAACUGUGAAACUUACACAUUCAUUGAACUUGAAAGUUGAAAGUUGAAACUAGAAAAUCACACAUAUAAAUUCAUAACACAUUGAUGAGUGACUGAUUUAACACUAGUCCAUUGAUCAGUUAAUAAGUCAAAAACCCGAUGUUAGUACUAUAUUAUUCAAGAUACCUAGCUGACAACUUCAUAUGAUCUUAGCUGACAACUUCGCAAUACAAUAACCCAAAUUUUAGUAUCAUGUUAUUCUAGUUUACUAGCAUUUUUUCAAAUAUGCAUAAAAUUAUAAAUCAAAAUAAGUUUGACGUGUGUGUGGUCGUAACCCGUGAGUGAGGAUGGUGGUGAUGUUUCAUCGAAGGAAGGUAGUCCAUAUAUAUUGCCGUACAAGUUCUGUUAACAUGAAGAAACUGCAAAAGAUGUUUCAAAACGCAGCUGAAGAGAAUGUUAGAAGUAUAAGGCAAUAUGUAACAGAGCUCAAAGAACGUGUUGCCAAGCUGAAAUCCCAAAAGCGAUUACUUGUCUGCCAGAAGAAAAGUGAUUGAUUGAACAAUCUGCCACCAGGUGCUUGAGCUGGAGGCAAAUGAAGCAGCAGGGGUAUGACUGGAGAAUAAUGAAAACAUGCCUGAAAUACAAGAGGAGUCUCCAGUAUCAUGGACGUACAUCAUAAGUUUGUCAUAUUCUCUAAGCUCAAAAAAGCUUAGAAAUCUAUUAGUCAUUUUUUAAAUUUGCACGUCUUUUAUAUUUUUAUGCAUUUGUAGGAAGCAAAUUUUGUUCGAUUAUAACAGAAUGAGUUUUAGGUAAAGUAAAAAUAUAGUUGUUCGGCCGAGUAACAUCUACAUUAUAAGUUUAUCAUAUUCUCUAUGCUCAGAAAAGUUUUCUCCAAAAUGUAAUUCUUUAAUUUCUUGGGUACACUCUUUUAAGGUGAUAUUGAAACCACUUUCCCUUUUCAUUUCUAAAUUAGGUGCUCCUCUAUACUAUUUUUUUGUGUUUUGUCAACUUGUAUAUGUAUCAUGUCUCUGGGAAAUAUGCAUAAACAGUUUCAUUGAUCUGUGUCAUUCCUGUACCCUUCACAUUUUGAACAAUCUGAAUUUUGAUUUAAAUUCUCUCCACUUUUAAAGUGGAAUAUAUUUCAUCAUCUUGUAGAACAAAUCUUAGGGUAAGAGUAUGAAACAUGUUAAACAUAAGAUCACUUUGUUAGUGUUGUUUUGCAUUGUUCUUUAAAUAUAACAUUGCAGUAUGGAAGAAGAGUGAUGCUACUGUAAUACUCAGAAAAUAUAUAUAUUUGUAUUACUUCUCUUCUAUUCCUUGAAAACAAAGUACAGACUUCUCUUCUAUUUAUAAAUAGAAGAAUAUACAAACCAUCAGUUUAUGGAUAAAAACAGAUACGUUACAGAUACAUUUUACUAAGCAUAAAGACUUAAUAUAUUCCCAUACAUUCACUGAAUCCAACAUGUCAGACUACUGAGUUGAAGAGUUUAGUUUACUUAUCCAACAUAUUCCUCCCUUAAACUAACACUCCUUUCGAUCCUUCAUACCUAACAUCAUUUUGUAGUUACCUAACAUAACUUUUGGAAGCGGCUUUGUUAGAACAUCUGCUACUUGGUCACGAAUAACAACAUGACGCAUUUGCACAUUCUUUUCCUUAACAUGCUUCCGAAUAAAAUGAAAUCGAACAUCUACAUGCUUACUCCUUUCGUGAUGUACACGGUUCUUAGCUAACUCCAUUGCAGAUUUAUUAUCAACUCAUAUUUCAGUUGAUAUAUCCGUGCUGCGGGAGUCUUAACUCAAAGAACUGUCUCAGCCAUAUUGCAUGACAUACACAAUAGAAAGCAGCCACAUACUCUGCCUCACACGUUGACAAUGAUACUAUUGGUUGCUUCUUUGAAUUCCAUGUAAAAGCUAUAUUUCCCAUAAAGAACACAAACCAUGAUGUGCUUUUUCGAUCACCCACAUCUCCGCACCAAUCACUAUCAGAUUCUCUUGAUCGCUUUCCAAUGUGAAUGUUUUGGAUCCUCCAUGAACCUACUUACUAUACCGACACUGUAUGCAAGGUCCGGCGUUGUACACGUGUGAUAUCACACUAGAACUCCUCCCUCAAACUUAGAUUGCUUGGUGCCAAGUUUCACCGGUGUUACCACUGGAUUAAAAUUCUCCAUGCUAGCUGUUGCUGUUCAUCUUGUUUAGAAAAAGAGAAAUCACAGCUGCAUAAUCCAGGGCCUGGUCAUUCUACAAUUCAUAUUAUUAAUCAGCUGAGAAGAACUGUUCUUGAAAAGUUGUUUUCUUGUGCUAAGUUCCAAAAAUGGGCGCGUGGGGAUAACCUUCUGAUCUGCUUACUGUAUUAACUAGUAAUUAGAUGUAAUAGCUUUAAGGCUUUUAUCCUGUGCUCUUCUAGUCUAGCUUGCUUAUUAUUAGUUUGUAGUCUUACUAUGUAAUCUGGUUUGUUGCUGAGCAGGUUGCUUUCUCUGUUCUUUCCUGGGGUAUGCCCCUUGAAGAAUGUUAUUUUUCCUUUUUCUAUAAAACUUUAAUUUAGC